UCAGACUUCCGGUUCUCAGAAUUGACCCAAGCCUCUGGAGCUGCUUUCACCUUUCAGGCAGCGCCCUCACCCUGUAGCGCAUAGUUCCUGCCCUCGCUCUCCUUUGCUCUGCGGGCGCAGGGGGGGCAGCUGCGCAAUCUCAGUGUCCUGAGGGUUCCCCGAGUUCUGCCUUGCGCGCUGGUUUCUCCGCAUCCUUACCAGAUGCCGCUGGUCUCUGCACCACCUGGGGCGCCAUGGCCACCUUGGCCUACCUGCUGCGACAUCUGGAUUCCAGGGGAACUGCCAGGGUCAGAGGCUGAAGGCACAAGCAUGGCAAUCACCGCCUGGUCAGACUCCAGAGGUUUGGUUUGUAACAUUAAGAAGACAUUCCUCCAAUGCCUGAAAUGCCCUUCAUAGUGUCCUUUACGUUACAAGAGCUUGGGAACAGUCACAUGGAGGAUCGGGAGCUGAGCCCACACACUGAAAACACAGAACAGAGGGAGCAGAUGGAAGAAAGAAAAUUGGCAGGUUUAGAGGGCGAGAACAACCCAAAGAAGGGCCAGGUAAUAUGGAGCUGGAUUUGCCAAAGGAGGUGAGAAUAAGCACAAGUUGAAUUCAGAAAAGUCAAGGGAAACUGAGGAAUGUGUACAGCAUCGUGCGGCUCCUCAAGGAGCAGCCUGAGCUGAGCAGUGAGGACUGGGAUAGUAACUUACUCGACAGUGAACCUGUGCACCUGCGAGAGCAAUCCACAGAAUGGAUCAGGAUUGGUUUCUACUGCUGGGAAGCACCAAUUCCAAGAGGAGGAGGAUGUGACCAUGAGGCUCUGCCCAGACCACCCCCAGCCUCCACCUAGGAACUGGCCUCACAGUGGAUGU